rnacentral:rRNA from 1 species
AUUGAACGCUGGCGGCAUGCCUUACACAUGCAAGUCGAACGGCAGCACGGGUGCUUGCCCCUGGUGGCGAGUGGCGAACGGGGGAGUAAUACAUCGGAACAUGUCCUGUAGUUGGGGAUAGCCCGGCGAAAGCCGGAUUAAUACCGCAUACGAUCUACGGAUGAAAGCGGGGGACCUUCGGGCCUCGCGCUAUAGGGUUGGCCGAUGGCUGAUUAGCUAGUUGGUGGGGUAAAGGCCUACCAAGGCGACGAUCAGUAGCUGGUCUGAGAGGACGACCAGCCACACUGGGACUGAGACACGGCCCAGACUCCUACGGGAGGCAGCAGUGGGGAAUUUUGGACAAUGGGCGAAAGCCUGAUCCAGCAAUGCCGCGUGUGUGAAGAAGGCCUUCGGGUUGUAAAGCACUUUUGUCCGGAAAGAAAUCCUUGGCCCUAAUACGGUCGGGGGAUGACGGUACCGGAAGAAUAAGCACCGGCUAACUACGUG